rnacentral:misc_RNA from 1 species
GUUGAAAUAUCCUUGCAUUAUAUUUGGUCCACGGAACCAUAAUUCCCCUAGUUGAGUAGGGGGGAGAGGCUUCAUUGUGUCUACGCUAACCACUUUGCCCUCAACCCCAGGGACGAGGGGUCCUGUUGAACCAAAUUGGCGAGUCCCUCCACUAGGAUUCUCUAGUGAAAUAAUGCCACAAGAUUCUGUCAAACCAUACCCCUGAACAAUCUCCAAACCCGGA